AGAGGUCCUGCCUGCCCUGUGAUAUAUAUUUAACGGCCGCGGUAUUUUGACCGUGCAAAGGUAGCGCAAUCACUUGUCCUUUAAAUGAAGACCUGUAUGAAUGGCAUGACGAGGGCUUAACUGUCUCCUUUUUCCAAUCAAUGAAAUUGAUCUUCCCGUGCAGAAGCGGGAAUACAACCAUAAGACGAGAAGACCCUAUGGAGCUUUAAACAAAAAUAGAUCUUGUUAAACAUAUCUUAAUUAAAGAAGUGAACCGAGAGAAUCCUAUCAUUNAUGUUUUUGGUUGGGGCGACCGCGGGGAAACAAACAACCCCCAUGUGGACUAAGAAAACAUUUCUCACAAUAAAGAGCCACAGCUCUAAUUAACAGAAUUUCUGACCUANUAGAUCCGGCAAUGCCGAUCAACGGACCGAGUUACCCUAGGGAUAACAGCGCAAUCCUCUUUAAGAGUUCAUAUCGACAAGAGGGUUUACGACCUCGAUGUUGGAUCAGGACACCCUAAUGGUGCAGCAGCUAUUAAGGG
rnacentral:rRNA from 1 species